GUCAAGAUGGCCGAGUGGUCUAAGGCGCCAGACUCAAGGUUUGGUCUUCGUGAGAGGGCGUGGGUUCAAAUCCCACUUCUGACA
rnacentral:tRNA from 1 species